GAUGAACGCUGGCUACAGGCUUAACACAUGCAAGUCGAGGGGAAACGCCGGGGAAGCUUGCUUCCCCGGGCGUCGACCGGCGCACGGGUGAGUAACGCGUAUCCAACCUGCCUCUGACUGAGGGAUAACCCGUCGAAAGUCGGCCUAAUACCUCAUGGUAUCGUCUGCGGGCAUCCAACGACGAUUAAAGAUUUCAUCGGUCAGGGAUGGGGAUGCGUCUGAUUAGCUUGUUGGCGGGGUAACGGCCCACCAAGGCUACGAUCAGUAGGGGUUCUGAGAGGUAGGUCCCCCACAUUGGAACUGAGACACGGUCCAAACUCCUACGGGAGGCAGCAGUGAGGAAUAUUGGUCAAUGGGCGAGAGCCUGAACCAGCCAAGUAGCGUGCAGGAAGACGGCCCUAUGGGUUGUAAACUGCUUUUAUGCGGGGAUAAAGUGAGGGACGUGUCCCUCAUUGCAGGUACCGCAUGAAUAAGGACCGGCUAAUUCCGUG
rnacentral:rRNA from 1 species